rnacentral:lncRNA from 1 species
UCUUUUAGGCUGGCUCUUUUGGGGUAUUGGGUUGUUGCGGAGCCCAGACUUUAGCUGCAGAGACCGAGAGGGUUUUGUUUGGAAAGAUACGUAUGAACCAGAAUGCAUGGUAGACUUUUGGUAUGCAUGUCGCGUGUGGCGCAGAAAAGCACACAGUACGGCCGGGAGGCACGGAUCGUGGGAUAAGGGAUUGUGAAGGUGCGAUCUGAAGUCUAUAGACUUAGAAAAGUCAAGCACGUAAUCAGCUGCUUUAGCAUAAGAAAACUGUUGCCCGCUUCCAGUUAGCUAUCUUCUGCUCCUGCGUUCAGGACUGGGGCGCACUGCACUUUUCUUCCUGAGUUGCACUUUUCCCACUUAGCCUUAAAAUCCGUGAAAAGCGAAGCACGACUGUCGCCGGGUGUCCCAGGUGAGGGUCCAGUGACACACCUUUCGGCGCGAUCUUCGCCGGCCAGUGUUUCCACGCCCAGGUAACCCUUGUCACCUGCGGCUGCCGGCUUAACCCGGGUGUUCCCUGGUGUCAGGUUCUAAUAAGGAACCCGAUACUGGGGCGGGCUCCGACCCCACGCACCCACGGGCAGGCCACGGGCCCACGAGCCAAACGCAGGGCCCAAGGCUGAGAGCGCGGGGCGGCGCGCAGUGGUGU